CGCUAUCACUCCUACGGGGAGGCAGCAGUAGGGAAUCUUCCACAAUGGGCGCAAGCCUGAUGGAGCAACACCGCGUGAGUGAAGAAGGGUUUCGGCUCGUAAAGCUCUGUUGUUAAAGAAGAACACGUAUGAGAGUAACUGUUCAUACGUUGACGGUAUUUAACCAGAAAGUCACGGCUAACUACGUGCCAGCAGCCGCGGUAAUACGUAGGUGGCAAGCGUUAUCCGGAUUUAUUGGGCGUAAAGAGAGUGCAGGCGGUUUCUUAAGUCUGAUGUGAAAGCCUUCGGCUUAACCGGAGAAGUGCAUCGGAAACUGGAUAACUUGAGUGCAGAAGAGGGUAGUGGAACUCCAUGUGUAGCGGUGGAAUGCGUAGAUAUAUGGAAGAACACCAGUGGCGAAGGCGGCUACCUGGUCUACAACUGACGCUGAGACUCGAAAGCAUGGGUAGCGAACAGGAUUAGAUACCCUGGUAG
rnacentral:rRNA from 1 species